UAUAUAGACGUCUAUUCGCCGGUGUAUUUACUAGUUUAUUGUAUUGGUGUAAAACAAGUUAACCAUCAUGCGUCUUGUAUUAACCAGUGUUCUACUAGUUGUUGUAUUGGUUAUAUCCUCUACAGGACACCGCCGUGUUCACAGAUACCAUAGGUACCGCAGAUCACACUACAGACACCGUUACUCAAGAUAUCCACCACCAGAUCCCUGUAGACAUGUCAGAUGUUCAUUUGAUGCGAAGUGUAAAAAUGGUAAAUGUUUAUGUGGAAAUGUGACUUGUUCUAGCGGUGCCAUAUGCAUCAAUGAUAACUGCGCAUGUGCACCGGGUUAUGGUUCAGGUUCAAACUGUGCAAUCCCUGAAACGUGUAGCAAGUGUCAGAAGAAUGAAACCUGUACUACUAUAAGCCUUGGAUGGGACGAAAGCACUCGGGGUCCAUGUAACGACUUUGUGACAUGUGACGGACCAAGAUGGACCUGUCCAUUUAUAGGCUGCAUGGCCAGAGGUAUAAGAUGUAUAGACGACUAUUGUGUUUUCGCUCAUGCACCCUAUUAUAUGGGUAUAUGUCGGGGUGAAUCGUGUUAUGUUGGAAGUAAAUAUGUAUGUAAUGAUAACUCUGAUUGUGGGAACGUUGCUAAUUGUACUUACGGAUGCUGUGACUAUGAGAACCAAACAAUGUACGGUAGCUGUGAAUUCGCGUAUGCCAGAGAGGAGUGUAUUCCUUGUACAGCACAAUUUAGAUUUGAACCUGUAUGUGUCCUUACAAGAAAUUUGCGCAUCUUCUUUCUGGAACCUGGAAUCUAUAUUUCUGGUAAUGACAAUUAUUAAUAAAAGAAUGCAUUUGUUAAUGGCAUCAUA